rnacentral:tRNA from 1 species
CCAGGGGUGGCGGAGUGGCCAAUCGCAACAGACUGUAAAUCUGUCGGGCUUUGCCCUACGGGGGUUCGAAUCCCUCCCCCUGGA